UUAUGUUUCCUUUCUACAUUCGUUUUUUUUUCUCUCUCUUGUCCUUCAUUAUUGAAGACGGUUGCGGAAGAUAACUGCUGACUCCUGUAUUUUCUCCCCGUAGAAAACACAUCAUCGCAACCGUUGUCAACCGCCUCUAACUGCUUGGAACGAUGUGACAGUCCCCUCCCCGUAGAAAACAUAUUGGGUAGUGAUUUGUGAGGCCCAAAUUCUUGACUGGAGGUUAAUGAAAAUUGUCUCUUCAGUUCACUCUUUGCAUAAUUAAAGUCGUACAUAAUCUUUCAGCUUAUUCACUCAUUGUCAAUUAAUUUUAGAUAAAAUUCUCACAAUGUAAUACAGUAGUAGAGUAUGCUAUUCAUGUGUCGGGUUUGACAGCCACGUAUAAGCUUCAUGGACAUAACAAUGGCCUUUAGUAUUGGCCUAUCGGGCCACGGUCGGGGUACUAUUGCCUUGUCAGAGAGACAAUUGUCAAUGUUGUCAAUCACAACUGUGGCCAAAUUCAGCAGCAACCCAAAUCCGAAGCGCAGCUCAGGAGUCUUUUACCUCAAAAAACUUCAGCAUUUGGUGCAAAUAAGUCGGUUCUUGUGACAAUUGAUGAACUUUAAAAACAGCAGCAGUGUUCAGAUGCUACUGUGGUGGAGUGGGCUAAUGAAGCUCUUCAAGGUCUUGGAAAGGUUGCUCCUUUUUCACUUUAUUUGACGCAAACUUACUUCUCCAAUGUUGCAUCUGCGCUUGGGAAAAAUGACAAUCAAUUAUCCACUAACUGGUGUGAUGAAAACUGAAUAUCGCGUUGCUAUAAGAUCGUCUUUGCGGAAUGAUUUUGCCGAAGGUGUGCGGGCAGUUUUGGUGGACAAGGAUCAGAAUCCGAAGUGGAACCCGUCAAAGUAAGAGGGAGGUGAAUCAGAGUGAAGUGGAAGCUCUCUUCGAGCCAUUUAGCCCGAACGUUUGAGCGUGUAACUGACUGGCAUGUGAAAACCGGAGCCAUUAAAAUAUAUUUACCGUUGUAGAAAAUAAGUUAGAUGAAACUACAUGAGACGUGUGUCAGUUCUAUAUGAGAGCAAACACUUGGUGAUUUGAUUAAAGACAUGUGGAAUGAUAAGGAGAUAAGGAUUGACACU